AAGUGAGAACAGAUGAAUGUGAGCAGGAAAUGCUUUCCAGUCAAACACCCCCACGGCGAUCAAGUGCAAAGACAGCAGAAGUGUAUCAGUCACACAGGCAUACAGGACUGUCAGCACUAGUAGGCACAGCUGAGUGAAGAGGAGCUCUGUAGAAGAGGUUGGGGAGAGCCUCCAAGCUCACACUCAAAUCAGCAGCAGAGCCUGAGAUUGCACAGCACCACACAUCUGUGUUUCUACAGUGACGGCACUUUUCUACUGUCGGUGGCCUGGACUCUCAGAAAUGCACAGAUGUCUCAAAUGCCACCACCUACUUGUCUGCAAGAUCAAAAGGGACCAAAGCAACAUCAAAAGAUUUAGACUUGCCUGUGCUGUGCUGUUUGGUCAGCCCCAUUUCCAGUGCACCUUCCCACCUACCCAAAGCUGUGCUGGCAUCUCAAUUCCACUGCAACUGUGUGACCCACCAGACCUCGGAGACUCUACAAAUCCUAAAGCCACUCCCUAACCUGUGCCUGCCUCGCAGUCCCAGGACAAAAGAAUGGGCAACUUCCUAUUCUGUAUCCAGCAGCUCUCCCUCCACUCCACUCACAGGCAAUUAGUAUACUAGGAACCACCCGGGCAUGUUAAGCAAGAAGGGUAUGAAACACUAAAAGGGAAAAGCUGUUACCUUCAUUGGCAGAUGUUAUGAACCUACUCAUUAGGAAUCUGAAUAGGGACCAAACAGUGUGGACUCUGCUGCUAGCAAAUACUUUUGGAAAAAAACUAUAGGUCGAAAGUUCUCUUUUUGGUGGGCGUUACACUUAAGAUAGGGAAGAAGAUCUGAAUAGGCUCUGACCCCUUCUGAGAUGGGUGCAUUGGCAGUCUAUUUUGUUUUACAAAGCAUUUAGUAUAGGAGAUAUUCAGCAUAUUUAGUUUUUCCAGGUUUAGGAGAGGUAUAGGAUGCCCUUAUAAAGAAUUUUUUUCAUCUAGCCUCUUUCCAGAUGACAAGAUCUUGGACAAACUGAAAUAUGAGUGAUCUGGUCAUGCAAUAAAGAGCCACUCCUGCGAUUUGGAAGAGGUCCGAGAUGACUCCUGAACAGUCAAGAAACUUAACCAGAAAAUUCUCUCGUGGCUUGAAUUGCUGGGAUGCAGGAUCUGGAAGCAUCACAGGCAUGUCACAGCAGUGGUUUGGCUUGAGAAUUACCCUAAACAGCCUUAUUGUCACCACUGAGUGAUAGAGGAUGGCAACUGGACUGCAAGUGAAGCACAACAGAAUGACCAGUGAAGCUGAUUUUCUUUUUGAAUCUUUUCCCCCACUUAGUUUUUGUAUGUGAAAACUCAGUAACAUGAAGUUCCAGAUCAGAAGAGAUCAGCUAUAUAUGAGAGAUCAGGAAGAACAGCAAGUUCAUACUAAAGUUCUCACUUUCAUUCUUCUGAGGGAAAAAGCAGCAUACUCUUUUAGCUAAAAUCACUACAGACUUCAUGAAGCAAAGGUUCCAUCUAGGCUCAAAGAAUAUAUCAAAUUUGUGUCCUAACACUCCUCUGUUUGAAUUCAUAACAGAUAUUCCUACAGUCUGGAUUGCCUGAACUCACCAAUUUUCAAAUCUAUUUAAGAGAAAAUUUAUGAGAGGAUGAAUUCGGUUCCUGUACUGUAGUUUCAUGAAUUUAGGGACUGAGUGUUCUGCACUAAUGAUAGUUGAUAAAAACCACUGGUGAAUUUGACCUUGAUUUGCGGGACAUACUGUUCCUGAUUUUGGUAAUAAAUGUUGACAUUAAGACCCA